rnacentral:lncRNA from 1 species
AAUAUCUCCCUGCUCGCAAUGGGCCUUUCUCACCUGAGGGAUAUGUCGUCUUGUUUUUGCAUCAUUAGAUCUGACCAGAACAGCACAGCACCAUAUUCCCCUCUGAGAGGCCGUCACACACCCAUCAGCCUCCCGGGGAGAGGGGGCAGACCCAGCAACAGGGCGCUCAUCUCAGCUCCGGAGUCCUGUGGUACAGGAGAAGGUGUGGAGUGCUGAUCCUUACAGUCUGCAGGUGACAAGACCACCAUUACCCAUCCUCUGUAAGCCUGGCACAUGUAGAAAGCCAUAUUUAU